GUGAGGGAAGGGGAGGGAAGCUGCUGUGAAACAUGUGAUAGCGCAACUUUGGCGAGGCUUAUAGGGAGUUUAACGGCUGGAGCGUCUCUGGGAAAGCACCUUUAGCCCAGAGGGAGCCUCAUACACACCGUCUCUCAGAGUGUGAGUGUGUGUGUGUGUGUGUGUGUGUGUGUGCUGUCACUGUAAGCCUGUUACUGAUUACACUCAGAAGAAUGCAACGGGAGGAGGAGAAAAAAAGGACAAGAGAUGUAAAGUUACCCAACCAGCCUCUUUAUAUUUCUCUCUCUCUCUCUGUUGGACCAGAGAACUGAACGGAGGACAAACUAAAAAAAAAAAAAGGAGAAAGACACCACCAGAAAACUGAGGAAGAAGAAGAAGAAGAAGGGGGGGGUUCCCUCAUUCCAAGCUCAGCGCCGGGAGGAAACUCUCACCCAGACGGGUUCUGCAGGGAUGGGUCCACAUAAUCAUCCAUGAGUUCCCAGAAGUAUUCAAAGGAAAAAAUGGGGGUCCUUAUGUUCUGUCACAUUUCUGCAGCUCUGUGGCUGCUGUCGGUUGCUCAGUAGGCAGUGUAGAUCCUGUGUAGCAAUCAGCAGCUACAUCUGGCUACUGGGUCUCCGACGGCUCUGCCUACUUCCUCGUCGAAGCAUACCCGCUCCUCUCCUAUUGGCUGGUGGCGCAUUCCGAUGCCUCUGAUUGGCUGAGAAGUCAGGAGCGAGGGGGAGGGAGGGGGGGCUCCAUCCUGUGACCCCACAGACAGGAUGUUCUGUGUCACAACUCCACAAGGGGCCCUUGUCAAGGCUUUUUGUGAUGUGUUUUUUUUUCCACUUCUUCCUCUUCCGCCAUUCUUUUAAAACUCUCCCCCCUCGUGGUCCUCUUUCUGUGAAAUGUCUGCAGUCAUAUCGACUCAAGAAGUGACUUGAAGUGUUUAAGGUGACAAAAUGGUACAAUUAAAACUUUGAGGAAGAGAAAAUGCAGAGAAACACAUCAGAAAUACUGUGGUAGCGACCUGUCAAUCACAAGGUAGCCCCACCCUAAAGCACACCAGGAUUUAUUUAACUCUUAAUUAACAAUACAUCACAGAAUGAACAUCAUGCUGUAUUAGAAAGAUUAAAAACUAGACUCUGUAACAUGAACCCACUAGGAAACUCUAUACUGGGGUAAUAAAUCAAGGAAGAAGUCAUUUUCUCGUAGACUUCUAUAGAUAUUGACUUUUUUUUGCAAUCAGUGGUUUGCAAGUUGCUCUAAAUAUGAAAAUGAAUCACAAAAUGAUCAUCAUGCUGUAUUAGGAAGACUUAAAACAACAUAUCUAGUACAUUAACUUGCUAGGAAAAUGGUAACAAAGUAAUUUUCUCGUAGACUUCUAUAGAUAUAUUAUGAAGAAUGCAGGUUUGAUUUCACUUUACUCACUAUUCAGAACAUGGAGGUUGCAAAGGAAAGUUGACAAUCAUUUAUUUAUGCACGAUUGAAAAGCCGUCAACGUGGAAGAAGUGACCCUUUGCUUCUGUCCUGAACCUGGCAUACAAUGUAGAUUUCUGUGUGGUUCAUUUCUACAGCUACAUUGUCUGCUGGGUUUCUGGCUAGCAAUAUAUGCAGCAAAAAGCACCCUUGAAAAAGAAAGGUAAGUAUUCAUCAAUUCUGUCAAUGUGCCUCGAUUAACUGACCUUGAUAAUUCAAUAAAAAUAUGUGAGACCA